GAUGAACGCUGGCGGCGUGCCUAAUACAUGCAAGUCGAGCGAACAGAUGAGGAGCUUGCUCCUCUGACGUUAGCGGCGGACGGGUGAGUAACACGUGGAUAACCUACCUAUAAGACUGGGAUAACUUCGGGAAACCGGAGCUAAUACCGAAUAAUAUAUUGAACCGCAUGGUUCAAUAGUGAAAGACGGUUUUGCUGUCACUUAUAGAUGGAUCCGCGCCGCAUUAGCUAGUUGGUAAGGUAACGGCUUACCAAGGCAACGAUGCGUAGCCGACCUGAGAGGGUGAUCGGCCACACUGGAACUGAGACACGGUCCAGACUCCUACGGGAGGCAGCAGUAGGGAAUCUUCCGCAAUGGGCGAAAGCCUGACGGAGCAACGCCGCGUGAGUGAUGAAGGUCUUCGGAUCGUAAAACUCUGUUAUUAGGGAAGAACAAAUGUGUAAGUAACUAUGCACGUCUUGACGGUACCUAAUCAGAAAGCCACGGCUAACUACGUG
rnacentral:rRNA from 1 species